UACGGGGGGAGCAAGCGUUGUUCGGAUUUACUGGGCGUAAAGGGCGCGUAGGCGGUCGUGACAAGUCACUUGUGAAAUCUCCGGGCUUAACUCGGAAAGGUCAAGUGAUACUGUCGGACUAGAGUACAGAAGGGGCAACUGGAAUUCUCGGUGUAGCGGUGAAAUGCGUAGAUAUCCGGAGGAACACCGGUGGCGAAGGCGGCUUCCUGGACCGACACUGACGCUGAGGCGCGAAAGCGUGGGGAGCAAACAGG
rnacentral:rRNA from 1 species